UGGUUCUGGCAUNGAUGAAGAACGCAGCGAAAUGCGAUAAGUAAUGUGAAUUGCAGAAUUCAGUGAAUCAUCGAAUCUUUGAACGCACAUUGCGCCCUUUGGCAUUCCGAGGGGCAUGCCCGUUCGAGCGUCAUUAAAUCCAAUCAAGCCUGGCUUGGUAUUGGGCGUCGGGAGCCCCCGCGCCUCAAUUUCGCCGGCCGAUCGUGCCCGUCUGUAGCGUCGUGACUCACUUCUCGCUAUCGAUGGGCCCGAACCGCGCCGUUAGAACUCCACAAAUUUCCAUCGAAAUUUGAUUAGGUUGACCUCGGAUCGGGUAGGAAUACCCGCUGA
rnacentral:misc_RNA from 1 species